rnacentral:lncRNA from 10 species
AAGUGUGCACCUAAGUAGCAAAAUGUGCUAAACGUGGUUUCAACAGCAAUGAGGGAAUUUAACAACAUGGACAGAGAGAGAGGGUGAGAAGGAUCACAGGAGAGGUCUGACACAAAAGCUUAAGAUUGUAAUGAAACUGGGGCAGGAGCACGAGUCAUUCACAGGUGCCUGAGCCUUGCCUGGCACUGAUGGAAGAAGACCCAUAGCUGUGACAGUACCCAGUACACACUUGGAUUUCAGUCACCUUUGAGUUCCACGUGCUGUCGGCCCAUCUCAAACUCAUGACACAAUUGUUGACACAUAGAUGGUAGCCAGUGCUUGUCAACUAAAGAAGAGAAUGGGAAAGGAAGAAGACAAAAGUGACCAAAGAAAAAAAACAGGAUCAGCCUGCUCUCUGCAGGGCGCUUCCAGGGACAAGGCCUCAUGAGGACAGCCCACUCCAUAAACAGGUGGAAUGCUGCCUUGAUCAAGUGCAGUCUCCUUCCCAGCUCUGCAAUGCAAGCGCACCCUGGACCCUGACUUCCCCAUCCUCCUUUUAUGCAGUCUCAAACUGAUGUGUCAUCGCUCCACAGUCCCUCAAGCCCCCAAGCUUCUCCCUCCUGCCUAGCUCCUUCCCUGGCCCCCAAAGAAGGCUGACAGGAGAAACUAAACUGAAAUAAAGAGGCCAUGGUAGCUCUGUUUCCUAAGAUGUUUUGUUCUUUUUCUACCCAUAAGGGAAUGAUUCAAAAUGUCCCUCCACCUGGGUCCAACCGGUUUGCCUGAAGUUAAUUCACUCACCAGCUGUUAAGGCUGCUUCUGUCCUUGGGUGAAAUUUGGCUGGCUCACCCACUCUUCGGAGCUACAACUGGGCCUGGCCUCAUUAGAAGCCAUGUGGCCUCUGUAGCUGGCACCGUGGCUGUCCCCCGAGUCAGCCGGGAUUGCAUCAGCUCCUCUGAUGGCCAGAAGCAGAUUUCACAUUUUUUCCUCUCUCGAAUGUGUGCUGUCUUCUUGCUGCGUUCUGAUUUAGCUUCCUAUCUCUGAGACACAUAUUUAGCUCUCGUCUCAUUUGCAGAGGUACUGUCAUGCUUUUGAACGAUGUGGUCUUACUUUUCCAGCUGUUCCAUGUCACCAAACCAACAUUCUUUGGGGUUACACUUGUGGGGAAUUGUCUUCCAAAAGACUAUCUUUCUAUUUCAAGUUUUGCCUAAGCAUCUCCAGCAGACAUUAUCAAUGAGGUAAUUUUUGGCAAACUUAAGAGCGUGAUCCUGCGUAACAGAUGCUUAGGAGAGCACUGACAACUCACACAAGAUGAUUACCAUUCCACUGGCUUGACCCUCCUAGGUUGAGAGCACAAGGGGGAGGGUUUUUUUGAUAGAAUUGAUGAGACUCAAAAAGAUCUGAUUUUGGUCUUUCAAUGUCAGUGGAUACCACUCAGGAUGUGUUGAACUGGGGAGGGGAGCUGGCCUGCACUAAACACAUACCACACGUCCAGCACUCCGUAAGGUAGGCUCAGCUAUUUUCAAGGUAAACCUGUAAGCAUUCUGUUAUUAUGCCUUUUAAAAGAUGUGAAACUGAAGAUCUGAGUCUAAGAAAUGUUUAGCCAAUGCUGCACAGAUCGUAGAGGUUCAAAGCAGGCUAUAAUUCAAGGUCUUUCUGUAUCCAAAGCUUGUGCUCCUCAAAAGCAGUACAAUUCCUUUCUAAAUUAACUUUGAUUUCUUUUUUCUGAUUAUAAAAGCAAAAGUUGCUAAUGUAAAAAAAAAAAUGGAAAAAUACAUAAAAAUGUAAACAGAGACCUCAAAUCACUUUUAAUUCAUUAACAUUUUGUUAUUUUUUUCUUUCCGUACUGGUUUUUCUAGAUAACUAAUUAGACAGAUGAGACAGACAGACAGACAGAUGGCCCAUAGUAUCUUUAACCAUUUCUCUAUUGUGGUUCUAGUUACAUAUGUCAAACUGACUUCUAAAAAUAAAUGAGCAGCAAUUCAUAGCAGUAUAUGAGUAUAUCUAUCUCAUAUCAGAAG